AUACGUAGGGGGCGAGCGUUGUCCGGAUUUACUGGGCGUAAAGGGUGAGUAGGCGGUUAUAUAUGUCAGGUGUAAAAAGCUAUGGCUUAACCAUAGUAAGCACUUGAAACUGUAUGACUUGAGUACAGGAGAGGGAAGCGGAAUUCCUAGUGUAGCGGGGAAAUGCGUAGAGAUUAGGAGGAACACCAGUGGCGAAGGCGGCUUACUGGACUGUAACUGACACUGAGGCACGAAAGCGUGGGGAGCAAACAGGAUUAGAUACCCUGGUAGUCCACGCUGUAAACGAUGAAUACUAGGUGUAGGGGGUAUCAACUCCCUCUGUGCCGCAGCAAACGCAAUAAGUAUUCCGCCUGGGGAGUACGGCCGCAAGAAUGAAACUCAAAUGAAUUGACGGGG
rnacentral:rRNA from 1 species